UAUUUCAUUGUGUAUAUUUUCUACAUUUUCUUUCUCCAAUCAUUUGUUGAUGGGCAUUUAGUUUGAUUUUAUGUCUGUGCUACUGUGAAUAGUGUUGCAACAAAUACACAAGUACAGUUAUCUUUCUGAUACAUUGAUUUCUUUUCCUUUGCAUAAAUACUCAGUGGUGGGAUUGCUGAAUCAGACAGAGCCAAUAGAUGAUCAGUAAUGGUGGCCAAUCAUCAGCUAGAAAGAAAGUGCUUAGCAGGGCUUGAAAACACCAAAACUCUGAGACCACUGACCUUCAAAAACUUCAACAGCCCUGAGUGAAAAGCCCAAACACAUUUAUCUACCAUUCAAAGACGCUUCAUUGUCUGUUCUCUGUGCAUCUCAGUAGUCUCUUUUUACCACACUGUCUAUAUACUGCAUGAGCCAUUUAUAUGAAACUAUCUGACACUCCAAGGCAUCUUAUACUAUAUAUUCAACCAUGUAUCCCUAGUACCUAGCACAGUCCUGGCAUAUAGUUUGCUACUAAACUUUUACAGAAUGAAGGAAUUAUCUUGUAUCCAGGUUCCAAGUUUUAAGGUGAUUCUUCACUAAAAAAAGUAUUACAGUUCACAAAUAAUCUACUUCCCUUUUUACAAAUGGGAUCAAUUUUAAUCUUAUCUCCUAAUAACAUUACUUUCAUUUACUCUGAUCUAAAUAUACUGUCCUAAGAGAGCAAUAAGAAAGAGAGUUGAAGCUGGAGUUUGAAGAAUUGUACAUGGUCCUGUGAUACCCUACCUUGUUUUAACCUGAGUGACUCUCUCCUAGCAGAGAGAGAGCCGGACAGACUCCAUUUUAGUUUCUUCACGUGCAUCCCCCUUUACCUCCCACCCUUAAUUGCAUAACUAGUGUAAACUAACUCAAAGCAGGUCCAGGAAUGCACUUACUGAUAAGAUAUUGAGGCAAGCUGCACCAGCUGCUCCUGGGUACGCACUCGGUGAAUGUCACGCAAAACCCCUGCAUUUCUCUCUUUGUGAUGGUUUAAGCCCCUGCACCUGGAACUGUUUAUUUGUUUUGUAACUGUUAUUGUAACCAAUUAAUUUUUUAACUAUUUGCCAGCUCUGCUUCUGUAAAACUUGUUUCAGCUAAACUCCCCCCUCCCCUAUUUAGACCACGGCAUAAAAACAAAACCAGCCCCUUCCUCGGGGCCAAGAGAAUUUUGAGCAUUACAUGCCUCUUGGUUGCUGGCUAAUAAAGGACUCCUUAAUUUGUCUCAAAGUGUGGCGUUCCUCUAUAACUCGCUUGGUUACAACAGUCCACACUGUGGCCUGAGGUGCAUCGCCCACCUGAGCUUCAUCUGUUAUGUAUGUCAGGGAAUAUAAGCAGGGUGAGAGUGGCCUCAUCAGAGGACCCCAGAUCUCUGGCUUACCCAUCUGGCAAGCGCACCUCUGUGAGCAAAGACUUCAGAGCCAGAUGACAAGAACGGCCCAAGCAGUCCACCAGGGAAACCUGGGCCCAGUGUACAUCAAUGCAGAGCAUCAAGCAUGGCGUAACAGGUGCACAGUUGCCUACUCCUGUUCAGAGAUGACUGCAUCCCACAUACCGUAAAAUGAGGAAAUGCAGAGAAGCAGAAGUAACUGAAGAAGACAGCAGAAGCAACAAGGAGGGACAACCAGGACCUAGGAGGGCACCAUGCCAGAGACGCCUGGACCCCACGCUAGGCUCAGUGCCUGUUAUACUCUUGGGAUCCAGCACUUUCCCUCUCCAUCACAUGGCAUACUUGCCAUUAUUUGUUGUGUAAAAUAUUGUCCUUAGUUUUCACCUUUCCUAGGAGACACAGGCAGAGCCUGUGACACUACAGCUUCUGGCACACAGUAGGUAGGUGCAUCACAAACAUCUGCUGAGUUCACACACUCUUGCCUUCUCAAACCUUCCUGUCAAGUCUUCAGUGAAAAGGAAUUGCUGAUUGAGCAAGAAUUAAACUUCUAGAGACUCCUGGAUCCACUGAAGUUUGAGACAAGCUCUAGUCAGGAAGUGUUAGAGAGUUCUAAACAGGAAAUGUUCCAACACACCAUCUAAGCAUGAAGCAGGAGACACCCAUAAUUGAGUUUGCUGCCACCAACCCCAACAGCAAGAAUUCCAGUCCUGCUGCUGCAAAUUCUCUUUUGGAGUCUUUCUUGCAGUUGCGGUUGCUUGGCUGCUGCUGAAGUCACCUGAAAGCUCAAUUAGGCUAAAGAGUCUAGACGGGUCACUUACAUGGUUGGCAGUGCAUAUUGGCUGCUGAGUGUGAUGCCUAUCUGACCUCUCCAUGUUACCUGGAGUGCUCAUAACGUGGUAGUUUGUCCCAAGACACACAGGCAAAUACUAUAAAGCUUCUUAGGACCUAGCCUUGGAGGUCCUAGAACAAGACUUCUGCUCCAUCCUUUUGGAAAAGCAAGUCAUUGUGACCAGCACAGAUUCAAGAAAUGGGAGAUUCGACUCUGCCUGUCAAUGUAAACAGCAGCAUGUGCAUGCAGGGAGGAAAGAAAUCGAGGGCAUCAUCUAGAAGACUAUCAUAUCACACCAUUAUUCCAACUAAUGAACAUUAUGUUUUAGAUGGGUAGUACUAGCUACUCAUCUCUCCCCCAGAAACCCAAGCUAAGCAUGGACAUAUUGAAGAGAAUGUCAGCACCAUUAAAAAAAAACUCUAGAAAAAUCACAUGUGAUGACUGAGGUUAAUUCAGUCUGUCAAUUACAUCAAUAUAAUUGCCUUCUUGUAGCCCUAAGUAUGGUGAAGCAGAAUUGAAUUCUACAAAAGUCUUUCAUCUGUUUUCCUAUGGAAUAAUUAACAAACCCAAUAAAUGUAUAAAUAGCA
rnacentral:lncRNA from 10 species